GCCUCAUUCCCACGGAAACCUGGUUACUUGACCAGUCUCAGGUUUUCAGUGGCUUCAAGAUAAAGCCUGACAGCCUUAGUGAGCAUUGCUGGCCAAGGCCUCCCGGAACGGUUUACUAAUAAUUGGGAGAUUGGUUAAGUUUAUGUUUUUGUGUCUUGAUGUACAGGCCACGACUUUGAACUUCCAGCAUCUACCAAGAGCGAUGGUGCUUGAAAAGAUAGAAAAUGAAAGAGUUGGUCCUAGUGACUUUCCAAGACCUCUUCUGGUCCUUGAACUUCGAUGACUUGAUCGCUCAACAUGAACUUCAGGGUCUAAAAGAAUUCUUUUUAUGAAAGGCAGAAUAAAAAUCACCCCCAAUUUUAUCCAGGUGAGAAGUUGAAACAAAGCCUGCUUACUAUUUAUAUAUAAAAUGAAAAUGUAAUUUCUGUAUACCAUAAGAGAGCACUCAAUGAUUAAGGGAUGAGUAGAAAAUAGCAUGAAGGGGGAAAUACUUGUUUGAAACUUAUGUAAUUAUAUUAAUUCUGUUUUUAUUUUCUGUAUCUUAGGAUGUUUUAAUAUUUUGGGGGCCUUCCAGACCCAAGGAGAGACUACACCUCCCAGGGCUAGCUAAUUCCCAAAUAUAAUAGCAACUUGCCUAGGAAUAUACCUUUUGUACGCAAACCAACCAUUUUGAGACUAUACCUCCAACCACUCAACUCUCAUACACCACAACAAUAUUUUCCCUGACCGAAGUCAUCCCAGGGCCAGGUACCAGGCAAUUAGAGACCACCCCUAUAGCCUUUAUAAAGUCUGCCAGAAUGAUUCAUGCUGGCUAAUCCUAAAAUGUUCACCCUGCCCUGCCUUCCUUUUCCCAUGCAAGUCCCAAUAAAGUUUCUGGUCUAAA